rnacentral:rRNA from 1 species
UACGAAGGGGGCUAGCGUUGCUCGGAAUCACUGGGCGUAAAGGGUGCGUAGGCGGGUCUUUUAAGUCAGGGGUGAAAUCCUGGAGCUCAACUCCAGAACUGCCUUUGAUACUGAAGAUCUUGAGUUCGGGAGAGGUGAGUGGAACUGCGAGUGUAGAGGUGAAAUUCGUAGAUAUUCGCAAGAACACCGGUGGCGAAGGCGGCCAACUGGACCAUUACUGACGCUGAGGCGCGAAAGCGUGGGGAGCAAACAGG